rfam:Chlorocebus sabaeus isolate 1994-021 chromosome 16, whole genome shotgun sequence.
GCCGGGCGCGGUGGCUCAAGCCUGUAAUCCCAGCACUUUGGGAGGCCCAGACGGGCGGAUCACAAGGUCAGGAGAUCGAGACCAUCCUGGCUAACACGGUGAAACCCCGUCUCNNNNNNNNNNCGCCACCACGCCCGGCUAGUUUUUGUAUUUUUUAGUAGAGACGGGGUUUCACCGUGUUAGCCAGGAUGGUCUCGAUCUCCUGACCUUGUGAUCCGCCCGUCUGGG